UUCCAGUCCAAGUCAAGGCGAUGUUGUCCAGUUUUUUUCCAGAAUAUGUCUGAUUUGGACAUAAAUAUUAAACAAGAUAGUACAAGGGUAUCUACCUGCUCUUUCCACUCAUAAACACACCCAUAGUGAUGUUGUUUCACCUUUCCACAGUUGCUGCAUUUCUUUUUAAAAACUCAAUCUGUCAGCUCGGAAGUUAGGCGUCUCUACGUUAGAUAGUAACCUGCUUUAACUGUCAGUCACAGCCCAGUUUAAGCACAGACUCGAGUUGCAGCCAGCCAUAGUCUGCAAACUGACAGGAAAAUGAAAGCCUCCUGUUCUGUUUGAAACUGGCAUCCUCUGAUUUUCCCUGAGAACGUGUAAUAUUUUGACAGUAAUUAUUUAAAAAUAUUUACUUUGCGAGACAAAAAAAGAUCACAGCCAAAUAGCAAAUAUUUCAUAAAGGGAUAAAAGCGCAGGAGGAUGACUGAGGAUGCGCAGUGAUGUGAAUCCAUAAGGGAAUGUGGUAAAUGAGCAAAAACUCUACUUCUGCUGCCCUGGAAGUGUCACUUUAGAGUUUCCUUUUUCUGUUUUUUUAAUGCCUUCUUUCUCUACUCUUUUUUUUUUUAAGAUGAUACGAUACAAUCUCAUAAUUUGUCCUUACAUAUCAAGUGAUGUGAAGGAUAGUGAUUUCUCCUUUUUCAAGUCAAGGACUUGCUAUCCAUUUGGGAACUUCAAAUAAAACCCAAAUAUAGAACCAGUAUAUAAAGUUUAUUUUACACCGUCCCACUAGUAUAAUACUUAUCCUCUCAAAUGUGGCUAUUUGAAGCUCAGAGCUAUUUUCAUAGAGGUACCGCCAUUAGUUGUAAUCUCUUACAGAUCCAGCUGUCAGAUUACAGUAGGGUGUCAUAUCAGUGUUAGACAGAAAGUGUCCUGACUUGAAUACCUUCAGUAAUAUCUUUGUGCGUGUUUACGUGAUAUCGUGUGCUGGAUGCUCGCCACGGUUAGGGCAGUGAUAGUCGAGCAGGUUAAUCCAAAAUAUUAAUAUCUGUCCUAUCUCUUCUUUUUACAGAUUAACACCUUGUCAGGGUUGUGGUUGACUAGUGCUGAAUCAGAUCCGUUCUGAUGGAGAUAUCUUUGAGCUUAGCUCGAUGUGGUGUGAUAAAUCAGUCGAUAAGUCAGAUUAUGUCUCACACUAGCUGAGACUGCAGACUCUAAACUGUCCCAGUGUCUGCCAUAGUCGCCGUAUCACACCAAUCCCCUCUACUUUGAAUACAUACAUACAAUACUGCAUUCAGAAACACGAGAUUACCUUUUUUUAGACCAAGAUGACCAUGUGCGAUGACGAUCUUUGUGCUGUCUGGCUCAUUGCUGUCUGUCCUUUGAGAGAUAACACAUAGACAGUCAUGUUUCUGUAAGAAUGCAGUCUGUGACCCUAGCUUGUAUUAUUUUCUUCCAUAUCAAAUUAACUGUUGUGUGGCUGUGAUAUGGACACUGACGGUAUCAGUACACAGCAAACCAACCCUGAACUUUAUGUUUGUGUUUUGGCCCUGUGUGUGGACAGAACAGUCAAUCAUUCAAGCGGGAAAUGUCAAGAAUCUUCGCCAUGGAAAAUGUGUAAAAGGGAAAUUUGGCUGUGCUCUUGUAUCUGAUCAUUUUUUUGACACCUAGCCUGCUGCAGCGGUUUCAGACAUUAAAAGUAACCUAAUUACUUCAGUAAUGGUGGUCUUGUUUGCUUUUGAAGGCUGCAGAAACAUCUGACUGAAUAGCAGUCUGUUUCAUAACCAGCUAAAUCUCUUCACAGGAGCUCUAACUCAGUCUCAGAAAAACUUUUCAGUGUAUAAAUUAUACCACAGACACAUCAUAUCCUAUCGCUAUUUCCCUUUAUCUGUCUGUACAUCAAAACCCAAUCUCCUCUAAAAUGCAAAUGUUGCUGAUAUGUUAAUUAUAAAGCAGUAUGAGGGUACAAACACAUGAAAUAAAAUCACUCCAAACUGAACAGACAUUGCCUUUUCCUUUUUUUUUUGCUUUGUUUUUCAAUUCUGCAUCAGGAUCCAGUCAUGUCCGGGAAUCUCUGUGUACACAGGCAUGCCAUAUAUAGCCUUGAUGUUGAUGCGAAGAGUUGGUCUUCCUGGAGGCAGAUUAUGCCUCAGACUAUGACCGCCUUCCUGUAAGAGUAUCUGCACUGACACGAUUUUCUAGUCCAGCGCCAGGCAUAAUCUGAGUGCCUGGAAAUGGGCUGAAUAAGCCCAAGUAAAUGCCCUGCUCGCAAUAAUGUAGUAGCUCCAUGCUGGAUACAGGCUGUACGCUGAGCACUGCUGGAUACAGGCCCACUAACUUAUACAACAUGGCACACAUCAGUUAAGUAGGAGUUUUGAAAUUAAUUUGAAAGCACUUUGAAAUAAGUGCCGUACUCAUUUACAUAAAAAUAUCUAUUUUAGCAUAUGGUAAGCUCAUUAAGUCAUCUUUUCACCUGCAGUAAUCCCUCACUAAUGUGUCCAAUUUGUAUAAGGUCAUAGGAAAAUCCAGAUUGCAACUUAAAGCCAAGGCUUUUAUAGACAAUAUAAAAGAUUGAGCGGAGAAUAAAGGACGACAUAAUUCCUUUCAGAUCGUUUCAGAUGAGGUCAAUGCGUAAUCUCUGGUGGGAAUGUGGCUGAAUAAGGCCAAGUCAUGCCCUGCUCUUAUUAUUAUGCAUCUAAUUACUAUGCAUCAGCCGUUAGCUCUUCUGUGCUUUGCUGUGUUGCCAGUGCCAGUUCACAAGGUCAAAUUCAUGCUACUUGUUAAUGUCCUUGCUGAAUAAAAUUAGACUGUGACUCAAACUGUGUGUAAUAUGCAUGAGUGUGUGUGUGUGUGUGUGGCUUGCUCAUAAUCUUAACACACUUGCAUACCCAUCCUACACACAGUGUUUGUCGUAGCCUGUGGCGAUGUUCACAACACCUUAACAUUAAGAAACCGCUCCUAUUAAGACUAAACAUCGAGCGCUGAAUCACAAUGGACACGGGUUCAUUCCCAGACAAGGUUAAGGCUUUAUCUUCAGCCGAGAAAUGAGCUGAGUAAGCAUGAGUCACACUUUCAAUUAUGCAUUAGCCUGUUAGCUUGUGCGGUUUGACUGACAGGCCAUGCUGGCUUUCAGAUAGCUGUCAGAGGCUAGACUUACAAGUGACCCCUUAAUCUAUCUGCACGCUAUCUUUGCCCAGAAACAAGAAAAUGUCAAAAAUAACCAUUAAAAAGGGGGGAAAAAAAUCCCUGCUGAAUCAACAUUCACUCAACUUCAUACUUCAAUGGACAGUUAUGUAUAACUACUCUUACUGGUCUACUAGCACUAUGUAAAAUUCAGGCUAAUAACUUGUUAGCAGGACUCAUUUGCUCUCUUUCCAAAUUAAAGUGCCCUCCUGCAAACACCCUAAUUGGCCUAAAGGGUAUUAAGAAUGUUCACAUGCAAACUUAAUUGUCCAUUAACAUGACUCAUUUGCUUUUAUUUCAAAAAUUACCUGCCUUCACAUCACCACCUCAGGCUGCCUGGAGGAACCUGACUGGCCUCGUUCUGGCGGCUAAAAUUAAAUUCAGAUUAAUUUAGAGUAUUCUUGCAGACACAAAGUUAAUCCCUGUGCUGCAGUCAGACUACUUUUCAGUUGGGUUGGGUAGAUAAUCCACUCCCAGCCC